rnacentral:rRNA from 1 species
AAUGGAGAAGAACUCUGACGCAGCAAUACCGCGUGAAUGACGAAGGCCUUCGGGUCGUAAAAUUCUGUUAUUGGGGAAGAAAGAAAUGACGGUACCCAAUGAGCAAGUCCCGGCUAACUACGUGCCAGCAGCCGCGGUAAUACGUAGGGGACAAGCGUUGUCCGGAAUCACUGGGCGUAAAGGGCACGCAGGCGGUCUAUCAAGCAGGAUGUGAAAGGCAGGAGCUCAACUCCUUGCACGGCAACCUGAACUGACAGACUAGAGUAUUGGAGAGGCAGGCAGAAUUCCUGGUGUAGCGGUGAAAUGCGUAGAGAUCAGGAGGAAUACCGGAGGCGAAGGCGGCCUGCUGGACAAAUACUGACGCUGAGGUGCGAAAGCGUGGGGAGCAAA